rnacentral:lncRNA from 1 species
CCGGGCAUGAUUUGUUUUGUUUUAAUUCUUUUUAAAACCAGGCACAGCUCUUAUCUGUGCGGAAACACUAAAUUCUUGGUAUCUUUUUGUUCCCCUGCAGAUGAUUUGACAGCGAUGUUUACAGAACUCACGAUUUAGGGAAAAAAAACCAAAAACGAGAAGGGAGGAAAGAAUAGAAGCGAACUGAACUGAGCUGACCCAAGAGAGGCUCCUGCCACUCCACGAAGCAGCUGUUAAUGAUGCCUUUGAUAAGACUUUAAUGACAUUUAGAGAGGACUGGGCACAUGUGGCAGGACGCAGGGCUUCUCCUCGGAGCGGGCACGUGGUAAUAUUUGAUCAGCGAUACUGCGUUACAGGAGCUGUCUCCAGGACUGCUGCUUCCUGCUGCAGAGGAGGUAUUGCCUGGCAGGAGUGUUUCAGGAAUUAACAAAAAGCAAAAUUGAGACCAGCAGAGCAAGCAGUCUCGGCAAACUGUCGAAGGUACAUUUUUCUUCAUUAUUUUCUCACUGAACCAUGAUGAUAUCUGAUGGAGCAUUAUGGAUGGCGAGAAGGAAAGAAGUGUAAGCAAAGCUUUAAAACUAGCCACUGCUCUGGCUAAUGAGGCAAAAAGGAAAUUCUG